rnacentral:rRNA from 1 species
UACGAAGGGGGCUAGCGUUGUUCGGAAUCACUGGGCGUAAAGCGCAUCGUAGGCGGACUUUCAAGUCAGGGGUGAAAUCCCGGGGCUCAACCUCGGGAAUUGCCUUUGAUACUGUAAGGUCUCGAGUCCGGAAGAGGUGGGUGGAAGUUCCUGAGUGUAGAGGUGAAAGUUCGAUAGAUAUUAGGAAGAACACGGAUGGCGAA